GUUAUACUCCCUCCAUCCAACAAAAGAUGUCUCAAGUUUGUCAAAAUUUGGAUGUAUCUAGACAUGACUUAGUGUAUAGAUGCAUUCAAAUUUAGUAAAAGUUGAGACAUAUUUUGUUGGACGGAGGAAAUAUAAU
rfam:Brachypodium distachyon strain Bd21 chromosome 2, whole genome shotgun sequence.